UGAGCCGGCCGGGUGGCCGCGGUGGGAGCGAUCCCGCUGAGGAACGUCGGGGCUCCGUAGGGCAGGGUGCUGGCGAGAGCCAGGUCGGGGUGACCUGACGGAUCAGGGCAACAGAAAGCAGACCGCCGAUGGUCCCGGGCGACCGGGACACAGGCAAGGGUGAAACGGUGCGGUAAGAGCGCACCAGCGUCCGGGGUGACCCGGGCGGCUCGGUAACCCCCACCCGGAGCAAGGUCAGACUGGGGGCGGGUGGCCCGCCCGAUGCCCCCGGGUGGACCGCACAGAUGGAUGGUCACCCAUCGGAUCUCCGGCGACGGAACCGAGGACAGAACCCCGCGUACAGGCCGGCUCACCAC
rnacentral:RNase_P_RNA from 1 species